GGGUGUGAUCAUACCAGCGUUAGUGCACUAGAUCCCAUCAGAACUCCAUAGUUAAGCACGCUUGGGCCGGAGUAGUACUGGGAUGGGUGACCUCCCAAGAAGUCCUGAUGUUGGACCCU